UACGUACUCCCUUCGUUCGAAACUACUUGUCACAGAAAUGGAUAUAUGUAGACGUAUUUUAGUUAUAGAUACAUUCAUUUUUAUCCACUUUUAAGACAAGGAAUUUGAAACGGAGAGAGUACUUG
rnacentral:pre_miRNA from 1 species